rnacentral:rRNA from 1 species
CAUUAGCUAGUUGGUGAGGUAACGGCUCACCAAGGCGACGAUGCGUAGCCGACCUGAGAGGGUGAUCGGCCACACUGGGACUGAGACACGGCCCAGACUCCUACGGGAGGCAGCAGUAGGGAAUCUUCCGCAAUGGACGAAAGUCUGACGGAGCAACGCCGCGUGAGUGAUGAAGGUUUUCGGAUCGUAAAGCUCUGUUGUUAGGGAAGAACAAGUGCCGUUCAAAUAGGGCGGCACCUUGACGGUACCUAACCAGAAAGCCACGGCUAACUACGUGCCAGCAGCCGCGGUAAUACGUAGGUGGCAAGCGUUGUCCGGAAUUAUUGGGCGUAAAGGGCUCGCAGGCGGUUUCUUAAGUCUGAUGUGAAAGCCCCCGGCUCAACCGGGGAGGGUCAUUGGAAACUGGGGAACUUGAGUGCAGAAGAGGAGAGUGGAAUUCCACGUGUAGCGGUGAAAUGCGUAGAGAUGUGGAGGAAC